AUACCUUUCUCGGCCUUUUGGCUAAGAUCAAGUGUAGUAUCUGUUCUUAUCAGUUUAAUAUCUGAUAUGUGGGCCAUAGAUCCACACGAUAUUAAAUUAAUUUUUUAAGGGGGAAGUCCCACCACAAUAGCUUGCUAUUGGGGUCUUCGCGUGUCGCCCAAGUGUCGCACCACUGCUCGGGCCUGGCACACCCCAC
rnacentral:snRNA from 1 species